AAAGUUAACCAAUCUACCGACUAAAGAGACAUUCCUUCUUUAAGGAACACACCAGCCAUGUGCAUCUGUUUUUCUUUUAGUCCUUCUCUCCAGGGCAGGUUUUAACUGAAAUGGUGGACAUUAAACUCUUUGGGUUUGGAAUGAAUAAACGGGUUCUUUGUUUUUUUUUAUAUUAAUUUUCAUAUCUAGGUUGUCGGCUCCUGAACGAAAACCAGAUUGUGCCUCUCGAGGCAUUUGCUUCCUAAACCUCCUUCAUUGCACCGACACAAUGGAUUAGCCUAUGAGAC
rnacentral:lncRNA from 1 species